UAUUUGAUAUAUAUUUUUUUUUUAUAUAUCUGAUAAACUUUUGAAUGUUUGAGGUUUUACUUACUAGUCAGAUGCUCAUAGUGUCUUGGAGAUGUUCUUCGACAAGAGGUCCCCUCCAACUCUGCUGCACGGCCAUCAGCAUGGAAGACUAUACACUCUAAACCCGGAUUUUGUUUUAAAUAAACGUUUAUAGCUGUCUUUAAUUAUUCUUUCUUGUUUUUGUAAAACACGUCGCCAUUACUAAAUAUAAUUAGUUAUUUGAAGUAAUCAGACGAAAUAUUGCAUGCAAUGAUAAUGUUUAGUAGAGAUAGCUUAAUGUGUUAAGUUUCUCUGAGGGGGAGGAGCCCUAUUUGAACACGUCUGCGUGAGCGCGCGAUGUUUGAAGAGAUCUGAGACCGGUUGAUGAUGCACGCGAUGGAUUUGGAAAACAUCAUGAAACGGUGUUCAUGGAGUUCUACAGGAUUGUGGGCAAGAAUCUCAAGCAAUCAUCUAACUGAGAUAUUUCAGUCUAAAGAGGGAAUGUUGGGCAGCUGUUGACAGCUUUCACAACAAAUCAAGACUAAAGAGCCAGCUAAAAUCUUUAAUGUUUUACUGAAGAAAAACUCAGCGAUGUUGGAUGGCCUGAGGGACUCUGAUGACGAUUACUCAUUCCACCACCUGGACAUUGGAAUCAUUCUCACUGAGUAUGAAGGUGAUGUGCUCUCAUCCUCUCUCCGUCUCAAUCCAGCCUCAUUGAAGAUCAUCAUUGAAGGAGAUUUUGUGAUGGACAGUAUUGAAGACUUGUCAGACGAUGACAACGAUGACCACAGACUGAUGGCCAUCUGAAGUCUUGUAUCUAGUGAGAUUGGGCAAAAGUUUGCUCACAAAACUUUUAAGAAUUAGUAUCCUCAAUUGCCAAACAAUUAAACAUUGUAAUUAAAAGGGAAAGUUGAUGUGACACGGUGUUAAACAUGCCUCUGUCCCAACUCUUUUGGAGUGUGUUGCAGCCAUCAAAAUCAAAAUUAGUUUAUAUUUACAAAAUAAAAUUUGGCCAGUAUAAACAUUGGAUAUUUUUCUUUGUACUUCAGUCAAUUAAAUAUAGGUUAAAGAGAAUGAACACAUAACAUUUUCUUGAUUGUAUGGCACAAUAACACAUUGUAUUGUACAACUUUUCUGGAAUUGGGGUUAUAGAAAGAUGGGAAACAUAUGCUUCUCAUUUUCAAAAUAGUUAUUAUUUUAGUGCAGUCCUGAUUUAUAAUAAUAAUAAUAAUAAGUUUUAUUUAUAUAGCGCCUUUCCAGAGCUCAAGGACACUUUACAAUAAACACCAGAAAUGGGAGGAAAACA